AACCUUUUACCUGUGACACUUGUGACACCCCCAACCACUGAUCUCCACCCUCACCACCUACCCUUGGAUGCCCAGGCUCGCAGGGGGCUGUUCUCAUCAAUGACAUGGUAGAAGGUGAGGGGCAGGAUGAGGAAGGGGCUGUCGCUGGAAGUGUCCACUUGGAAGGGCACGUUCCUCUGGUCCAGACGAACCGUCUCGCCUUCCUUGGUCAGAGACGUCUGGAGCAGUUUCCCAGUCACCUGGAGGGAAAAAUGUGCACGAGUUGCUUCAGCUAUAUCGGUUCAACGUUUGACAAAUUGCUCAUGCACAUGAAAUUCACAUAUGUUGCGCGGUGACCUAUUCAAUAUCACUGUCAAUUUGUCUAGACAAAUGUGCAGAAUUUGUAGAAAUGGUGAAAAUACCUCAUAAUCUGUAUCUUUUUCUCCCUACAUCUACACGCACUUACUUGACACCCAAGCAGGAGACUCUUGCGCAUGUUGGCCACCCUGAUCAUCAGGCAGGGUCGGCCUUCAUGGGUCGACACCACAGCAUGUUGGCUAAACUUUACCGUCUCCCCUCGCUUCUUUGGCCGAGCAACCUGAGCAGAGAAAGCUGGAUGUUUUAUUAUUGGCUACCUUGGCCAGGAAGGUGCCAGUGAUGAAGAUCUCCAUCAGCAUGGUGAUGACCAGCUGGAUGAUGAGGAGGAUGAUGGCAGCUGGGCAUUCUUCGGUGAUGCAGCGAAAACCAUAGCCAAUAGUUGUCUGGGACUCCAGAGAGAAGAGGAAGGCCCCCGUCAGGGUCUGCAUCUGCAUCACACAGGGUGUGUGGUUUGAUGGAGGAUCGAACUCUGGAAACAUGUUGAAAAGGCAAAAAAAGUCUCCGUGCACCAGCGCCACCAGGUACCACAGCACACCAAACAGGAACCAGGUCCCGGCAAACGUGGCCGUGAACAGGAAGAACUUGUAGCGCCACUGCAUGUCCAGAAAUGUCGUCCAGAGGUCACGCAUGUACAGAGCGCUUCGCCCGCUGACGUGCUCGAUUCGCACGUUGCUACGCCCAUCCUUGGACAGAACACGCCUCCUCU